AAAUAGCCAUGCAUUCUUAUCUUUUUGGCCGAAAGUUGAAGGAAAAAGAAACCAUGGUUGCUUAAAUAUUUCGGCACCUUUAAAUCUUGAUUUAGGUCAAGAAAAGAGGAGAUCGAAUAUGGAUCGGGGAAAAAUCGAAAAUUUUCGAAUAGUCGUCCGGUUAGUUCGUGUCCGUACGAGAGUUUCAAAGACUUGCUCGGGUUGGAAGUCAUAGGAGACCUCAUCACACUAUCCGGUUAUCGCUUCGGUAAAUAUAAGCUUUGAGUUUUUGGUUAUGUGGCAUGUAUAGGCUAGUUUUGAGAUGUUUGGUUUUGAAAUUUGUAUAUAUGUAUAUAUGUAUAUAGCCAUGCGAAAAAGGCUUGAUCAUGAUACUAAUGUUGGUAUACAUAUUCGGUCAUGUUAGAAGCUUAAUUUGGAGGUAUGUUUCAUGUUAAAUAUAUUUGUGAUGUUGGUUA